UUUUCCUCAUUUCAUGAAGGAUUCGUUAAAAAUUGAGCAUCCAAAGUAGGAAAUGGGUUUAGAAAAUGAAUGUAUUAACUUUUAAAAAUAUAAUAUUCUGGUCAAAUUCUGUGAAACAAUUGAUCAGCAUUAUAGUAGCAGUUUUUUUGCUCACAGUAGGUGUUCUCUGAAAUUGAGUGUUUGUACACUGUGGUGUUAUGUAUUUGUCUGUGCCUUUUGGGCAUUUCACAAUUGUGUUAGUUUGCUACUGUGCAAUGCCAUUGGUGGAACUUCACAGUCUGCACCUGCUGAAUGGAAGAAGUUGCUGAACUAAAGAUGUAUUCUUGCAUAGCAUCAAUGGUUUACGCGACAUGGAAGGAAGGAUGGAUCUUACAAUGCUGGGAGGAAGAUACAUCUGUUCAUUUAGAUAUGCCAUUCAGUUGUAAUUAUAAUGCAAGACAAUGAAGCAAACUGGAGGGAAAUUCCUGAAAUCUGAGAAUUGUAUUCCUUCUGUCCUCUUGAAUCAUACAGAAUGAU